AAUAAUGACUGGCAUUCGUAAGUCCCCGGCAGACUUUGCAUCGUCCGAUCAUCCGGAUACGAUUGCCAUGAGGGAUCUGGCCUCCAAGAACUAUCGCAUUUGUGUAGAUGACGUCUACACAAAGGAGCAGAAGAUGGAGCACGCCUACACGAUUGGGGUGAUGGUCUGCAACCAGACCAUACGAUACACGCGAAGAGAAGAGAAGGCGAAGCACACCGAGAAUGUGCACAGGCAGCAGCUUGAGUGCCUGCGGAGGGAGGUCGAACGACUUGGACAGGAUCUCAGGACAUCCCAGGCCAGCUUGUCUGUUACGCAAACAGAUCUGGACGCCACACAGAACGAACUCGUGGCCACGCUGCACGAACGCCUCCCAAGAACUGGACUACCUGGACAGCACGACCGCCUCCCAAGGUAUGACGAUACAUGGUGUUAA
ensembl:lncRNA